AGAGCCCCGUGAUGCCGCCGCCCCCGUUUGCCGUCCUCACCACGCCUGUCCGGAUACAAUGGUUAGAGUGGUAGUCUUAGAAACCCGUGGCGCUUCCGCCCCCGUUUGCCGUCCUCACUACGCCUGUCCGGAAACAAUGGUGCCAGUGGAAGUCUGAGACAACCGUGACGCCGCCGCUCCCGUUUGCCGUCCUCACCACCCCUGUCCGGAUACAUUGGUGCCAGCGAUAGUCUGAGACUCCCCUGACGCCGCGGCUCCCCUUUGCCGUCGCAACCACGCUUGUCCGGAUACAAUGGUUCCAGGGGUAGUCUUAGACUCCUGUGAUGCCUUUUCCCACGUGUGCCGUUCUCGCCAUGCCUGCGCGGAAGUAUAACUGUCGUGGGAUGCAAAUAGGUGGGUACAGGAGAAGUCAAACACUACCGGAAACUCCCCGACUGUAAUGCUUAUUGUCCGAAGGUCAUCACGGAAACACCCGAGCGGGAACUGCAAAACAAAUAAAAAUGUUCCUUUUCUCAAUCCGGAAGUCGGCACUGUCCAGGGAAAAUGUCUAGACACCAGACGUCACAAACAUCUUGCCAACCCGCUGGUCACAAAAAAAUCAUUAAAGAGAGAACAUGGCGACCCCAGCUUUAUUGUUUACGCACUCUCCCCUGCCUCGCCGAUCCCUAGGCGUUAUCGGCCUGUUCAAGCACCCGGGAUGCUGACGUCACAGCUGAUUUGACAUCCGGCGCGCAACUCUUACAGCUUCCGUCAUGAAACUGAGCUUUCCUAGUCCUUCAUUUUAUGUGAGUGACUCGAGUACUUUGGUCAGGUUAUUGCAAACCUCUCCCCCGCGAGACGCGACCCUUUGUUGCUGACGUCACAGCUGCAAGAUCAUAUCCAUGGACUCCAUGUUUGUGAUGAUGAUGAUGAUGAAGAUGACAUUGAUGAUGAUGGUGGUGGUGAUGAUGAUGAUGAUGAUGAAUUUUAUAACUUGCCUGUUUUGUUUAUUCAUAUAUUCACUACGAACAAAUAAUGUAUUUGUUUACAUUCCAAAAUGAUUUAAAUGUGAUAUACUUGUAUACAUGCAUCAAUUUUAAAGUAAUACACUAUCGUGAUAUGGUGUCUUUGAGGAGGCAGGUGCCUGUUUCUUUAAAGAUGACACACGUAUAUUCGAUGACAUAAACACACUUUGAAUAGAAAAUUUCAGAAUAAAGGAGUGGA